GAUCAGGUGACCAUCUGCCUCUUACCACAUCUUCCCCACAUAUUGGAUCAGGAGUUUAAUGCUUGUACUCCUUUUUGGUAGGAUUUCAAGUUUGGCUCUUCUGCUACAUUU
rnacentral:snoRNA from 1 species